UACUGCAAAACCCACAAGAGGCGCGAGUUUCGAACCAUUUUUAUCCGGAGGCGAUACUCAGAGUGAAGCAAUGACGUAUUCAACAGAAAACGAGGCCUCGUUUGUCAUCGUCACGUGAUUUUCACGGAAACGAUACAAGCCUCGAAUCGGGGCUUCAUCUGGAACGCCCCUUUUUGCUCAACACAAGCUCCGGAGCUUCGCUUCAGAUGUCACAUCACUAGAAAACGGGUCAGGCUAGGACAAGCUGUGGAUAACUUUAGCAAACACACAACAAACCACGAACAGCCUUUUAUUGCGACAUUCAGUACUGUAUAACCAACCAGAGAUGUAGAAGUAAACAGGAACAGAUGAAUAUACAGCCCUUAGAAAUACUUUUUCUUGGUGAUCAACUGCUAUUGACAUUUUUUAAUUGGGACCAAUGACAAGUGAUUUGGAAAAAAAAACGUUGGCAAAACAUCCCUUCCAGAGUGCUGUGACAGAUAAAACUUGAUGAUGACACAGUCAAAGCUUUUAAAGUCCUUGUGAUAAAGCGGAUUUCAAUUACUACAGUGUCUGAAUUGUAAGAAGAAGUGACCCUCCACUUAAACAUGUGACAUCUAAACUGUUUUGUGUUCUGCUUCAG